rnacentral:rRNA from 1 species
UACGUAGGGGGCAAGCGUUGUCCGGAUUUAUUGGGCGUAAAGAGCGUGUAGGCGGCCAGACAGGUCAGCUGUGAAAACUCGAGGCUCAACCUCGAGACGUCGGUUGAAACCGUCUGGCUAGAGUCCGGAAGAGGAGAGUGGAAUUCCCGGUGUAGCGGUGGAAUGCGCAGAUAUCAGGAGGAACACCAAUAGCGAAGGCAGCUCGCUGGGACGUUACUGACACUGAGGCGCGAAAGCGUGGGGAGCGAACAGG